GACAGAGGUGCCGAGCGUUAGGCGGAAUCACUGGGCUUAAAGCGUGUGUAGGCGGGCCCGUAAGUGUCUUGUGAAAUCCCACGGCUCAACCGUGGAACGGCUGGGGUAUACUGGCGGUCUUGGGCCAUUCAGGGGCGACUGGAACAAGCGGUGGAGCGGUGAAAUGCGUAGAUAUCGCUUGGAACGCCGAAGGUGAAAACAGGUCGCUGGGGAUGUGCCGACGCUGAGACACGAAAGCCAGGGGAGCAAACGGG
rnacentral:rRNA from 1 species